rnacentral:rRNA from 1 species
UGACCAACCUGCCCCUAACUCUGGGAUAACCCCGGGAAACCGGAGCUAAUACCGGAUACGAGACCGAGUGGCAUCACACGGUCUGGAAAGUUUUUUCGGUUAGGGAUGGGGUCGCGGCCUAUCAGCUUGUUGGUGGGGUAAUGGCCUACCAAGGCGACGACGGGUAGCCGGCCUGAGAGGGCGAUCGGCCACACUGGGACUGAGACACGGCCCAGACUCCGUACGGGAGCAGCA